ACGGGGGGACUCCUACGGGAGGCAGCAGUGGGGAAUAUUGCACAAUGGGCGCAAGCCUGAUGCAGCCAUGCCGCGUGUAUGAAGAAGGCCUUCGGGUUGUAAAGUACUUUCAGCGGGGAGGAAGGUGUUGAGGCUAAUAACCUCAGCAAUUGACGUUACCCGCAGAAGAAGCACCGGCUAACUCCGUGCCAGCAGCCGCGGUAAU
rnacentral:rRNA from 1 species